CUAUGCAAAGGAUUUAGAAAGUAACAAAUUUAGAUGUUAGAUUCUUAUUUCAUAGAAUCAUAGAGUCCUAGAGUUGGAAUAGACCACAGGGGCCAUUGAGUCCAGCCCCCUGCCAGAAAUGAGACGCCAAUCGAGCACUCCUGAUAUAUAAGUUGUCAGAUAUUUGUUUAGAAACCUUCAAAUGAAGGAGAUCUUUCAAUAUUGAUGUGAAACUCAAGAUCCUUGACAUAUGUUUAAGAUAAAAAUUUAAGAUUAACCAUUUGUUUUAGAAGGCAAUAGGGCAAGGAGGGCAAGAGGUGAGCUGGUAAUUAAGAUUCCAUGUAAGAUAUAUUAUUACUUAUUUGUCAUUUAUAUAUAGCUCUUUGUCUCCCUUAUAAGGACAGGAGGAUAUGAGUGUAUUUUUGUGAUUGGUUAUACCAAUCAGCCAAUAGGAAUUUCAACCAGGCUGAUGGGACAGAGGCAGCACAGGAGGAGCAAAAGGGGCUGGAUUAAGGGAAUAUAAGUGCUGGCCAUAAUGGCAGGAAGCCAGGCCAGAGCUUGGUGGGCCCUCGAGCGCACGCCGUGCAGCAUUGCCUGCCGAUUCAUCAGCUCCAGGCUGGCAUAGCAUAUGGGUGAAAGAGUGGAAACGUGAUCCACUUGCACGUAAGUGGCGUGGACCUUACACCGUCUUGCUCUCUACUCUAACAGCGGUGAAGGUAGCUGAGGUGACCCCCUGGAUUCAUCACUCCCGUUUGAAGAAGUCCGAAGGCAGUUGGACGUGCAAAGGUGACCCCUCUAAUCCUCUUAAACUGACUCUCUCCAAAAACCCCUGUAUCUAGCCCUACGGGGAAUGGGCUAGGUCACGGGCAACAUUAGACAACCGGCCUGCUGCAGCCACAACUUGGAAGCUGGCUGACCUGCGCACGCCUGAAGCUUGAGGAGCGUCUGAACCAGCGACUGUGAGCGGGAAGAUUCUCUUAUACAAUUGAUUGACUGCCCCCUUGUGGAACAAUUAUCAGAGAUAUUACAC
rnacentral:lncRNA from 1 species